rnacentral:rRNA from 1 species
GCAGUCGUGCGAGAAGUAUCUUCGGAUAUGAGUAGAGCGGCGGACGGGUGAGUAACGCGUAGGAAUCUACCUAGUAGAAGGGGAUAGCCCGGGGAAACCCGGAUUAAUACCGUAUACCUCCUUCGGGAGAAAGAAGGCCUCUCCUUGAAGCUUUCGCUACUAGAUGAGCCUGCGUAAGAUUAGCUUGUUGGUGAGGUAAAGGCUCACCAAGGCUACGAUCUUUAGCUGGUCUGAGAGGACGAUCAGCCACAUUGGGACUGAGACACGGCCCAGACUCCUACGGGAGGCAGCAGUGGGGAAUAUUGGACAAUGGGCGCAAGCCUGAUCCAGCCAUACCGCGUGUGUGAAGAAGGCCUUCGGGUUGUAAAGCACUUUAAGCAGGGAGAAAAAGUUAUAAGCUAAUAUCUUAUGACCUUGAUGUUACCUGCAGAAUAAGCACCGGCUAAUUCCGUGCCAGCAGCCGCGGUAAUACGGAAGGUGCAAGCGUUAAUCGGAAUUACUGGGCGUAAAGCGCGCGUAGGUGGUUUGUUAAGUUGGAUGUGAAAGCCCUGGGCUCAACCUAGGAACUGCAUCCAAAACUAACUCACUAGAGUACGAUAGAGGGAGGUAGAAUUCAUAGUGUAGCGGUGGAAUGCGUAGAUAUUAUGAAGAAUACCAGUGGCGAAGGCGGCCUCCUGGAUCUGUACUGACACUGAGGUGCGAAAGCGUGGGUAGCGAACAGGAUUAGAUACCCUGGUAGUCCACGCCGUAAACGAUGACAACUAGCUGUUGGGAGACAAAGUCUUUCAGUGGCGCAGCUAACGCUUUAAGUUGUCCGCCUGGGGAGUACGGCCGCAAGGCUAAAACUCAAAUGAAUUGACGGGGACCCGCACAAGCGGUGGAGCAUGUGGUUUAAUUCGAUGCAACACGAAAAACCUUACCUACUCUUGACAUACUUGGGAGCUCUUGUAAUGAGAGUGUGCCUUAUGGAACCAAGAUACAGGUGCUGCAUGGCUGUCGUCAGCUCGUGUCGUGAGAUGUUCCGUUAAGUCGGAUAACGAGCGCAACCCUUACCCUUAUUUGCCAGCGAUUCGGUCGGGAACUAUAAGGGGACUGCCGGUGAUAAACCCGGAGGAAGGUGAGGACGACGUCAAGUCAUCAUGGGCCC